AUUGAACGCUGGCGGAAUGCUUUACACAUGCAAGUCGAACGGCAGCACGGACUUCGGUCUGGUGGCGAGUGGCGAACGGGUGAGUAAUGUAUCGGAACGUGUCCAGUCGUGGGGGAUAACGUAGUGAAAAUUACGCUAAUACCGCAUACGAUCUAUGGAUGAAAGCGGGGGAUCGCAAGACCUCGCGCGACUGGUGAGGCCGAUAUCAGAUUAGGUAGUUGGUGGGGUAAAGGCCCACCAAGCCAACGAUCUGUAGCUGGUCUGAGAGGACGACCAGCCACACUGGAACUGAGACACGGUCCAGACUCCUACGGGAGGCAGCAGUGGGGAAUUUUGGACAAUGGGCGAAAGCCUGAUCCAGCCAUUCCGCGUGCAGGAUGAAGGCCCUCGGGUUGUAAACUGCUUUUGUACAGAACGAAAAGGUUUCUACUAAUUCUAGGAGCUCAUGACGGUACUGUAAGAAUAAGCACCGGCUAACUACGUGCCAGCAGCCGCCGUAA
rnacentral:rRNA from 1 species